rnacentral:rRNA from 1 species
UGGGUGACCUGCCCUCAGCUCUGGGAUAAGCCUGGGAAACUUGGGGUAAUACCGGAUAAGCCCUUCGGGGAAAGAUUUAUCGCCAUUGGAUGGGCCCGCGUCGGAUUAGCUAGUUGGUGAGGUAACGGCUCACCAAGGCAACGAUCCGUAGCUGGUCUGAGAGGACGAUCAGCCACACUGGGACUGAGACACGGCCCAGACUCCUACGGGAGGCAG